UAAUGCAUUUCUCUUAGAUGAAACAGAAGGGGAAGACCUUUGGUUUGGGAGGCCACUGUAGCGACCUUAUUACUACAGGGAUCAUCCCCACCAGCCUCUUACUAACUGCUGAAUACCCUCCAUGUUCCAGGGACUUAUGAGGCACUAUCUCUGCUUCACAUCAACCUGCAAGGAGAUAAUGCUUUCUGGAUAAGGGAAGGUUGAGUAGAGCUGCAAAGCUGGAGAAGAUGGAGACCUGAGGCCCACAGAGUACAGGUGACAUGCCCAAGGUCCCAAAGCAAGCCAGUGGAAAAGCCAGGACUGCAUCAUGGUCUCUCAACUCACACGUCAGUGCCCUCUCGACUGCAGUAGCUAUGGCAACAUUUUCAUUUUGCUCUUUGGAGAAGUGAAUAAAGGUAGGGAGCAGAAUAUUACGUUUUUGGAUUCUCUGCAGACUUCAGUAACCUCUGUUAUCCUGGCCUCCACUGUCCAGGCUGUGGUUGCCUCCUAUGGUAGCCCUUCGAUGGAAAGUUGGGUCCUAAGCCAAUCAGUUUUGAGUUGGCUCAGAGUUCCUACCAGGGCUGGUGCUGUCCCCUUGCACGUGGCUCAGGACCUCUCGGUCUGUAAACAGGCGGAAGGCAAUCUGCUCACACUCCCGCUUGGUCCCACAUUCAAACAAACACCCAAACAAGCCCUCCUCCUCCAGAGCAGCCAAAUCAGAGUAGCCACAGGGCCCGCAGUGCAAGAUCCAGGGACGGGACCAGCAGGCAGCCUCCAACGGGCUCUGGUUGAGGUAGAUGCCUAGGUCGACCCUCCGGUUCUUACUGGUUGGGUGUGAGUACAAGAGCCAUGAUUCUGACAGGGUUCUAGCUUCUGGCUCUAGCCUCAGUGAGCUGUCCAGCAGAUGGCUCUGCUGAAUGGUAGGAGCAUCUUUGCCAGCAGGGUGCUUGCACCCAUUUGCGAUCUCCAGGGACCGGAAACUCACCACACUGCCUUGGCAGCCAUGAGGGGGCUCACAGAGCUGUUGGCUCAGAGCUGGUUUCUGAAAGCAUUCACCAUGGUCAGUGCUGAGAGCCUCCGCUCGGCACCUGUUUGGUGUCCGGGCACUGCAAUACAGCACAGCGUGGCCAGCCUUCCCAGUUACCUCUGCCACUUCGCACUCCACCGUCACCAUGGGCUUAAUAAGCCUGCCAUGGUGCCAUGUGGCUCCUAGGUCAUCACUAUAGAUCAUCAGGGAAUGAGGCCUGGCUUUAUAUGGUAGCCGAAAGCAAAAGAACCGGUAAGGGAUGUAGUAGGCGUAUGCAGGGAUGAUCAGCCUCCCUGACUGCAGCUGGAUGCCAUGACCUGGGCCCACAGCAAACGUGGCCCAGUGCUCCACCUCUGGGCCAAUGACCUCCUCGGUCAGGUCCCUCACCUCGCUCCAUGAAUAGCCAGCAUCCUGACUGCAGAUGAAGCAGAGGCGGGCAGCAUUCCUGCCUGACACAAUCUGUCGACGCUCAGUGACAUGGCCCCGCACACAGAUGAAGAAUAGGUACACACGGCCACUCUUCUGCUCCCACACAGGACAGGGGUUCAUGGUCCGAUGCCCAGGUAAUGUGGCUUCCAUCAGUGGCUUCAGGGGUUCCCACUAGACAAGGGAAGGGAGAAAGAGCAGGAGUGAAAGACUAAUAGGAAGACAUGAGGCUCAUUAAAAGCAUUAAUACUGGGGACUUCUCUGACGGUCCAGUGGUUAAGAAUCUGCCUUCCAAUGCAGGAGAUGCGGGUUCAAUCCCUGGUCGGGGAACUAAGAUCCCACAUGCCGCGGGGCAACUGAGCCCGUGCGCCACAACAAAAGAUGCUGCAUGGAAAGAUCCCGCAACAAAAGAUCCUGCAUGCCUCAACUAAGACCCGA